UAGUCUGCAACUCGACUACAUGAAGCUGGAAUCGCUAGUAAUCGCGAAUCAGAAUGUCGCGGUGAAUACGUUCCCGGGUCUUGUACACACCGCCCGUCACACCAUGGGAGUCGGAAAUGCCCGAAGUCAGUGACCUAACCGAAAGGAGGGAGCUGCCGAAGGUGGAGCCGGUAACUGGGGUGAAGUCGUAACAAGGUAAC
rnacentral:rRNA from 1 species